rnacentral:lncRNA from 1 species
UCUCAUAGUCAAGGGCGCGAUGAGUAAAAAUGACAGACGGGCAUGGCCAUGACACCAUGAGUAAAAGAGUUCUGACAAUAAGAAAACCAGGCAUGGUGAAAAUCGGAAAAGGCACCAUGAGUAAAAAUAGAAAUCAAAGGUGGACAUGAUCUCGAAGUCAUAGGUAAAAGAGCCUCAAUAAAAAGAAGAAAUUGGUGAAAACCAUUUUUAUGGUGCCACUUCCAUCCAGUUCAGGUGAAAACCCGCAAGGACGCUUGGACCAAUAAACAAGUUGUUGCAACUCUUGACCAAAGACAAUUUCAACCAAUUAAGCCAAUAAGAUUGGAAGUUGCUGGCAGAAACCCAAAUCAGCCCUUCCCUACCAACUAGAUUGGGAGCAAAACUCACCAAGGGUACUCACUAGCUGAUCUCAUAGUCAAGAAGAUUUGAAGGUGCUGGCAGAAACCUAGAUCAACCCUUCUCAAAACGAAGUUCCCACGAUAUUGGGAUUAAGUCCACCAAGGACCGUCAGUUGUUGCAAAUAAAGCUGUUGAUGUUGGAGCAAGCCCUUAAACAAGGCACUCACUCAAAGCCAAGAAGAUUGGAAGUUGCUGGCAUAAACCCAGAUCAACCCUUCCCCAUGAACUAGAUCAGGAGCAGAGCCCACCAAGGGCACCCACUACCUGGUCUCAUAGUCAAGAAGAUUUGAAGGUGCUUGCAGAAACCUAGAUUUGCCCUUCUCAAAACAAAGUCCCCGUGACACUGAGAUUAAGUCCACCGAGGACCCUCAGUUGUUGCAAAUAAAGCUGUUAGCAAGCCCUUAAACAUGGCACUCACUCAAAGCCAAGAAGUUUGGAAGUUGCUGGCACAAACCUAGAUCAACCCUUCCCCACCAAGUAGAUUGGGAGCAAAGCCCACCAAGGCCACCCACUAGUUGGUCCAUUAGGAGGUGUUGUUGAGACGAAACGACAAGCCCUUCCAUAAGGCACCCUAUUAGGGCACCCUCCCAGAAAAUGGAUCCAGUAGCAUUGGUAAGGAACCCCCUAAGCAAGGCCCCCAAUCGCUAGAGUCCACUUCAGUCGCACCUCCGAGAAGAAGCUUAGCAUGGUCUCCUCUUCAAGGAUCGUGUUGAUGCCAAUGGAGAUUGUUGAGAGGCAAUAACAGUGAAUUUAGUAAUGAUUUGAAAGAUGAACAUCGACGAAAACAUUUUUGCUCUGAAUGCUACACUUCUCGCUUCUCUCGAAGAGUAGCAUUCGGCGGGGCAAGUUGUUAUACGUCAUUUUUUAUGUACUUGUAUUUCUGAGUCAUAUAAGGAGAGAGCUAGUAACAACCUGGUCCUACCGGUACCCAAGACACCGCCAGACUAUGGAAACACUGCAAAUAAGCCUAAAAUUGGGUGACCUCUGAAAAAGUAUUAGAACGGCCUCAAUAGACAUGAAAAUGGUAUUUGGGAUGCCCGAAGGAUGCUCACAAAGUUUUGUUGCAUUCCAAUUAGUUUUGAUAUGAUCAAGACGAAACUCGCUUCUCAAAUCCAGCUCCUAUCAUGUUAAAAAUGGACCUUAUAACUAUAGCCAUACUUUCGAGGUUUCAAAACAGUUCCUGACCACCGCCAUUAGUUCCAGAACGUCGAAACACCUUCAAGGACCAAAUUUGGGCUCACUCGGACCUUCCAGGACCGUUCUAGAACCAACUUACCCUAAAAAGACGGUUUCACACUAUUACAAUGCAGUAUCGGUGAAUCAGUUUCCAUUUAUAGAAACUGUGUUUUCUCAUUUUGCGAUGAUUUGUAAAUACUCAUAACUUUCUCAUUUUGAGUCGGAACAAGCUCAACACACAAGCUAGGCCUCGACGACUCAGUUGUUUUGACAUAUAGCACACAUCGUGACGUGGACCGUGACGAGAGAAUUUCUAGCGAGAAAAUGACCCCGAAACCAUGAAAGUCACAAUUCUAAACAAGAAGACGUCUCAAACUUCGUGAAGUCAUAACUUGAGAUCCGUUUGUCGGAUCAUCGAAAAUUUGGGUUCGUUGUGACCAUAUCGUGAAGGGCUAUAGUUUGGUAUAAUUUUUUCACACAAUUGGAAACCAAAUAGUGCGAAUUUUGAGGUUGAAAAAGGCAAGAUUUUCCAUUCGCCGGAAUCCCAUUUUUCGGCAACUUCUCAAAUUUUGAAUUUGCUCAAACAGAAACCAAAUCGGACGAAAUUUAGUGACAAACUACUCUUUAAUUCAUGAUCAAAAUGAGGACUCGAAACAUCAUGAAUCGUACCGGAUUGGUGGUCGAAGUUUAUGGACUUAGCCAGAUUUUUGGUCCUUCAUGAAAGUCCGCUUCAAGAUGAUCAAAGGGCAUCAAAAUGUUUGUGAUAGAUACGACGAUUGAUCGCCCGAAUUGCCACCAUACGUGUUUGAAAAAGCUCUCGAAAUCUAGCAAUGGCAAGAGGCACCUCAUGGAGGGAUGGUUUUGUCAUUUGCCCGAAAGAUCUAAAGGGUAUUUUGGUCAUCUUGUCCAAAAAGGGGAUUUUAUUUUAAUUCCAUUUAAUUAUAAUUUUCCACAAUUUGGGUAAAUUUUUAGCAUUCCACCCUUGUUUAGUGGUUGCUCUAUAUAAGGAAACCCAAGUCAUUUGUAAAUGAGUUGGAAAGAGUUAUUAAAAUUGAAGCAUUAAGCAUGUGCCAUUUCUGCUUUGAUUCUUACUCUUUGGACCAAGUGGUGAGGAGAGAGAAAACUUUGGUGGAGAGAGAAAACUUUGGUAGAGAGAGAAACUACCCCUAGCCUGUACUCCCUAGCCCACACACUAGCCUAUACCAUAGUCCACACUCCUUAGCCUACAUCCUAGCUUACAACCAAGCCUACACCAUGGUCUAUGGAUUCUAGUCUUGACCCAUGGCUAGCCACUCUCUCUCUCUCUUGUGUAAGCAAAGGGGCUAAGGUGGUGCACCUAGGCUAGGUCACACCCCAAGCUCACUCUCUCUCCUCUUUCCCCUCUCUUUCCUUUCUCUUUCAUUCUCUACCCCAUCUUCUCUGAGUAAGCAACCCAGAGCCGCAGCUUCCUGCGGCCCCGUCUCUCCCCUAGUCUCUCUUCUCUCUGCUACGCAACACCCCGGAGCCAUAGCAAACGUGCGGCCCCGUCUCUCUCUCUCAUCUUCACGUGCGCAUGAACCUCGGAGCUGCAAUUACCUGUGGCCCCCAUCUCUCUCUCUCGUCUUCAUGCGCCACUAAACCCCAUAGCCUCUCUCUCUCUCUC